rnacentral:RNase_P_RNA from 1 species
GUGCCAAACCGUUCUAUCGUACAGGCAUUUGUCUGUAAGGAAAGUCCGGACACCAUAGGACAGUAUAGCGGGUAACGCCCGUCAUAAUGACCCUCGCGUCAUUAUAGGACAAGUGCAGCAGAAAGAAUGUACAGGUAAUGCUGUAGUGAAAUCAGGUAAACUCUAUACGGUGAAAUGCUAUGUAUAUCGGCUUUAAGGAUUGUCCGUCCGUUGCCGAGGGGUAAGCAGCUUGAGUGUAUUGGUAACAAUGCACCCAGAUAAAUGAUAGGACUCGACAGAAUCCGGCUUAUAGGUUUGGCGUUUUU